GGUUUAUUGUUGUUAUUAGUGGGUAUAGCACUGAAUAUCUUAAAUAAAAAGGGAGUAUGAAAGUAUUUACCUUGGAUAUUUAAUCUCAGAAUAACUAAUAAUUGAAAUGAACUAUCAGACUUUUUGCGAUAAGGUGAA
rnacentral:rRNA from 1 species